CGGGGGCCCGCACAACGGGGAGCAUGUGGUUUAAUUGGAUGCAACGCGAAGAACCUUACCUNCUCUUGACAUCCAGGGAAUUUGGCAGAGAUGCUUUAGUGCCUUCGGGAACUGUGAGACAGGUGCUGCAUGGCUGUCGUCAGCUCGUGUUGUGAAAUGUUGGGUUAAGUCCCGCAACGAGCGCAACCCUUAUCCUUUGUUGCCAGCGAUUCGGUCGGGAACUCAAAGGAGACUGCCGGUGAUAAACCGGAGGAAGGUGGGGAUGACGUCAAGUCAUCAUGCCCUUACGAGUAGGGCUACACACGUGCUACAAUGGCGCAUACAAAGAGAAGCGACCUCGCGAGAGCAAGCGGACCUCAUAAAGUGCGUCGUAGUCCGGAUCGGAGUCUGCAACUCGACUCCGUGAAGUCGGAAUCGCUAGUAAUCGUGGAUCAGAAUGCCACGGUGAAUACGUUCCCGGGCCUUGUACACACCGCCCGUCACACCAUGGGAGUGGGUUGCAAAAGAAGUAGGUAGCUUAACCUUCGGGAGGGCGCUUACCACUUUGUGAUUCAUGACUGGGGUGAAGUCGUAACAAGGUAACCGUAGGACUCU
rnacentral:rRNA from 1 species